rnacentral:rRNA from 1 species
UACCCGCCCCCCGAGAGGUGGGGACUGUUACGGGGCUUAAAGCGCCCGUCGACGGCCGGGUGUGUCCUCCGUUAAAUCCACGGGCCUAACCCGUGGGCUGCGGAGGAUACUACCCGGCUUGGGGGUGGGAGAGGGCGGCGGUAUUCCCGGGGUAGGGGUAAAAUCCACUGAUCCCGGGAGGACCACCAGUGGCGAAGGCGGCCGCCCAGAACACGCCCGACGGUGAGGGGCGAAAGCUGGGGGAGCAAACGGG